UAGGGAGCGAGCGUUGUCCGGAUUUACUGGGUGUAAAGGGCGUGUAGCCGGGCUGACAAGUCAGAUGUGACAUCCCGCGGCUUAACCGCGGAACUGCAUUUGAAACUGUCGGUCUUGAGUAUCGGAGAGGCAGGCGGAAUUCCUAGUGUAGCGGUGAAAUGCGUAGAUAUUAGGAGGAACACCAGUGGCGAAGGCGGCCUGCUGGACGACAACUGACGGUGAGGCGCGAAAGCGUGGGGAGCAAA
rnacentral:rRNA from 1 species